rnacentral:rRNA from 1 species
GCACAAGCGGUGGAUGAUGUGGAUUAAUUCGAUGCAACGCGAAAACCUUACCUACCCUUGACAUGUCUGGAACCUUGGUGAGAGCCGAGGGUGCCUUCGGGAGCCAGAACACAGGUGCUGCAUGGCUGUCGUCAGCUCGUGUCGUGAGAUGUUGGGUUAAGUCCCGCAACGAGCGCAACCCUUGUCAUUAGUUGCUACAUUCAGUUGGGCACUCUAAUGAGACUGCCGGUGACAAACCGGAGGAAGGUGGGGAUGACGUCAAGUCCUCAUGGCCCUUAUAGGUGGGGCUACACACGUCAUACAAUGGAUGGUACAAAGGGUCGCCAACCCGCGAGGGGGAGCCAAUCCCAUAAAGCCAUUCGUAGUCCGGAUCGCAGUCUGCAACUCGACUGCGUGAAGUCGGAAUCGCUAGUAAUCGUGGAUCAGAAUGUCACGGUGAAUACGUUCCCGGGUCUU